rnacentral:lncRNA from 1 species
AAGAAACACAUUUUUAGAUCCUGAAGAUUAUUCUUAAGUAUCAAAAUUGGUUUCGACCCCACCCCAUCCUCUACUGAACUGAACUUCUAAAAGCAGACAAAGUUCUCCUUUAGAGAAGUCUGGAGGAGAAAGUGAAUGAAUCACUAUUUUUAUUUUUGGUGGUGAGAGGAAGAAAGAGGGGGGGAAAGAGGUAGCCUCUUCAGUUUUUUAUCCAGUGUGAUAAAAUGUGUACUUUGCUUUUUCUCUAGCACGUUCCCUAUCUUACUGAAUAACUUGUCUCAUCACAUAUAUAACACAUAUAACUUGUGUUAUACACAGCUCUU